UUUUUUUUUUUUUUUUUUUUUUAGGGAGGCUCCAAGUGUUUUUUUUUUUUUUCUUUAUAGAGCUGCACCUGCAGCAUAUGGAAGUUCCCAGGCUAGGGGUCUAGUCAGAGCUGCAGCUGCCAGCCUAUACCACAGCCACAGCAAUGUCAGAUCCAAGCUUCAUCUGUGACCUACACCACAGCUCAGGGCAAUGCCAGAUCCUUAACCCACUGAGGGGGGCCAGGAAUCGAACCUGCAACCUCAUGGAUUCGUUUCCGCUGUGCCACGACAGGAACUCCUGUGACAGGCAAUUUUGAUUGAAAGAACGUGGUACUGAAAAUGCCGCUGGCCUGGAAUAAGCAAGAGGCUUUUGUUGAUCAAUUAUGCAAGACGGAUAACAAAGCAACUUAAAAAUAAAAUGUGAGGACAUUCUGGAAAUAGAGAGUUACAUGCAUCAGCAUAGAUCUCUAAGACCCACAGAGAAUUGAGAGCCUAAACAUAUGAGACUUCACCCUGUUCCAAAAGAAUUCCAAAGGCAAUUCCACAGCUUGUUACAACCCUCCCUGAUGGCACAUUCUCAUGUUUACCUCUUUCACCACCUUCACAAAACAGCUAAGUGAUACCUCCUUACUGCCACUUAAGAGGCACAGUGUUUUGGGUUUUUUUGUUUUGUUUUCGUUUUUUCUAGGGCCCCACCCGAAGCAUAUGGAGAUUCACAGGCUAGGGGUCUAAUCAGAACUGUAGCCACCGGCCUACACCACAGCCAUAACACUAGGUCCAAGACGUGUCUGUGACCUACACCACAACUCAUGGCAACGCCAGAUCCUUAACCCAUUGAGCGAGGCCAGGGAUCGAACCUGUAACCUCAUGGUUCCUAGGCAGAUUCGUUAACCACUGAGCCACGCCGGGACCUCCGAGGCAUAGUGUUUAUUCGAACGUUGCCAUAACGAGGUCAUUGAAAACAUAACAGCAGAUGCUGUGCCUCAGUGCGGCAUCGUCUAGAACGCAAAACAAUUCUCCAAACCUACCUUCUUCCUCAUCCAGCUCACGCCCUGAAAUAGCUCCGCAAACAUUGUUAAACAAAGGGAAUGAAAGGGAGAGAGUUUGGAGAAAUCCUUGAGAUGUUCUGCGGGAAGAAAACGCGGCUGGAACAGAAGGCCUGCUUUUCUCCAAGGAAGCAUCCUCAUCAACCCAGCUGAGAAACGAGCCCACUUGUAACAGCGCAACCAGGAGCCGGGAUAAUUACAACAGAAGCACUUUAUUUCGAAUCAUGAAAAGAGUUACACUUGAUCUUCUUGUUAGCAGGGGCUGUGCAGACAGCAACAUUAACUGUGAAAUGGAAGGGCAGAUAACAGCUGAUUUGAAAGGGGAUUGUGUAAAUCUAGUUAAAGAGCAACUUUAGAAGAUUAUUUUCAAUUACUGAGAUAGCAUCAUGGCUCUCAGGGAAAAAAAAAUGGAAAGGUUUGUUCUCUACACCGCAUACAGCGGACGCAACCUCACAAAACCGCCUGCUUUCAAGCAGCACUAUCAGCCAGCAGCUAAUACGGCCUUGGCUCCACUUCGCCCUCCCCCUUUUUAAGGCACUUUCAAUUAUUUCGAGCCCUCACUUAGCUUUGGGAACAAAAAGUCAUUUCAACUGAAGAAAGACCUUAAAAAAAAAAAAAAUCCUCCUUCAGAAUAAUGAAAGCAUUGAGAUUUCCAAGUGCCCAAUAUAUAUAUAACCUGGGAGCCCUAUGUCCACACCAAGGCUGGGGUCAGGCAGGAAAAAGGCACCUGUUUGGUUGAUGAAGCGGCCUUUGCCUCACCUGGCAGAAGGUUUAACUGAGGACAUCCGGGCCUCCAGCCCCCGAUCACUCCGCCUCCACUGGCACAGGGGACCACACACCGAUGCAUGGGUGGACCAAGCUGCAAGCUGCAUCUCUAGCUGCCUGAGAUAACCUUGUCCAAUAAAACCCCCAGUUGCCAUUUUCUUUAACGUGGCUCACGUAGAGGGUGCUAAGGAUACAUUUAGGAAAGAAGGGAAACCUAAAUAGGAGCUCCUGUCAUGGCUCAAGUGGGAACAAAUCUGGCUGGUAUCCAUGAGUGAUCCCUGGUCUCACUCGGGAGGUUAAGGAUCUGGCGUUGCCAUGAGCUGGGAUGUAGCUCACGGCAAUGCCGGCUCCUUAACCCACUGAGCGAGGCCAGGGAUCGAACCUGCCUCCUCCUGGAUGCUAGUCAGAUUCCUUAACCACUGAGCCAUGACGGGAACUCCAAUCUCACCACCUUUAUAGCAGGGGUAGUAAUCAUUGCCCAGUUCGUUCAGAAGUCAUGGUGAUGCCAAGAUGAUCUGGUGCUCCGGCCGUUGCUAGGUGCUGUCUAACUGUAUGAUGAUGAUGAUGGUCAAGCGAUAAGAUCAAAAUGCCACGAAGUACAAAGGCGGUAUCUUCACCCACAGCCAGAUAUCACUCCCCAUUCACUUCCAUAGACCACCCACACUCAACACAAUUGCAAUAUUCUUUUCUGAGAAAGAGAAAUGUAAAAUUCAGCAAAAAAGAGGACCCUUUCCUGUCCAAAAAGUAAAUGUUCUCCUGGCACGAAAACGAAACGUCUUAAAUAAGAAUCAUUACAGUCACUUCACAGGUGCUUCUCCUUCCCUUCAGCAGCUGCAGCUCCGGCCUGGAUGUUGACGAGAC
ensembl:lncRNA